GCGAGAUUUCUCGGCGGAAUGUGCGCGUGCCGAGAGUCGCAUAUUUCCGGCCAAAUCAGCCUUAACAGAAAUAAGAAACGCCGGAGAGAUUCAAUCGUGUAAAUCUUUUUAUUCGCAGGGAGUGUUCCACUCAUCUCGACCAUUUAAAAAUUAUUGUUGUUGCUCCUUCGAUAAAACCAUUUAUUUUUAUUAACAACAUGUUGCAGUUAAUGGAAAGUCAAUCGCUGCUCACUGGUUUCGCAGCGACGUGAGUUGGUGAUCAACGAUCGAGUGGACCUCUCGAUCGUCACGGACCAUCGGCUUCUUUUCAAGACCUUUCGCAAUUCUUUUAUCUCGGGGCUAUAUUUCAAAGAUAUUUAUCGAUAGGCAGACGCUGCCGGACGACUGACAUUUAUCAGACGUAAAAUGCACCGACGAAUCACUAGAAACAGCAAA